GGACAGGGACACCUUGCUGGGACAGGGACACCCUGUGGGACAGGGACACUGUGUGGGACAGGGACACUGCUGGGACAGGGACACUUGAUGGGACAGGGACACUGCUGGGACAGGGACACUUUGUGGGACAGGGACACCCGCUGGUACAGGGACAGCCUGUGGGACAGGGACACCCUGUGGGACAGGCCCACCUUUGUCCCUUUGAGAGUGUCCCUUGUCCCCUCCAAGGCUCCACCGCUGCUAUUUUCAGCUUUGCUUUGCAUCACCACGCAGGUGCUCAGCAGCUCGUUAGUUAUGAACAGCUCGGGAAGGAGUUUUCCCAGUUUUCCCAGUUUUCCCAGUUUUCCCAGUUUUCCCAGCACGUGCAAACGAGGCUGUCAGGAAUGCUGCAGCUCCUCCAGGGGGGCCGGGCUCAUCCCAGAGUGAAUCACGGGGAGCAGUUCCAGGAGUAACCCGGGGUACUGGGGCUCAUCCUGGGGUGAAUCACAGGGAGCAAUUCCCGGGGGCUGUUCCCCAAUGUCACCUUGAGGUUGUGACAAACACGGCCCAAGAGGAGCAAAAAAAGAUCCUGGAUGGCUCCUGGGCUGCCUGGGGCUCCGGAGCUCAUCCCAGGGUGAAUCACGGGGAGCAGUUCCCCAGUGUCACCUGGAGGAUGUGACAAACACAGCUGGAGAGGAGCAACCCUGGUGACAAAGAUCUCCGAUGGCUCUUGGGCUGUGUGAGGCUGGCCCGGGAGGGGACAGAAGUGACACAGGGGAUGCUCCAGGGUGGGGAUGGCCUCACUCAGCCCCUCCUGAGUGCCACCCCCCGUUUGUGUCCCCGCAGAUCUGUACACAGCCCCCGACUCGUGCGAGGGACGCUGCGGGGAGCCCUUCAAUGAGGAGGACGAGUGUCACUGUCACCCCGAGUGCGGGGCAGAGCACAACUGCUGCGAGGACCACGAGAGGCACUGCGGGCCCGGUGGGGAAAGCGCCGAGGGAGGAGCUCGAAGCCGGGGUGAGUCCGGAGGGACAGAACCAUCCCUGGGUGCCUCGGGGUGUCCCCUCCAUUCCUUGGGGUGUCCCCUCAGGUGCAUUGGGGUGUCACCCUCUAUUUCUCGGUGUGUGUCCCCCAUUCCUUGGGGUGUCCCUUCAGGUGCCUCGCGGUGUCACCCUCUAUUUCUUUGUGUGUGUCCCCCAUUCCUCAGGGUGUCACCCUCAGGUAUCUUGGGGUGUCCCCCUCUAUUCCUCAGGAUGUCCCCCUUUAAUUCUUGGGGUGUUCCCCUCCAUUCCUUGAUGCGUCCCCCGUUCCUCUGGGAAUCCCGUCCCAUUUCCAUGGAUCCAGCUGGAUCCCUCUCACCUUUCCAUGGAUCCUCUGGAUCCCCUUCACUUUUCCAUGAAUCCCAGAGCUGUCCCCAGCCCCUGCCUGUCCCCACAGGGACAUCCUCACUUUUCAAUGGAUCCUCUGGAUCCCACUCCCUUUUUCAUGGAUUCAGCUGGAUCCCUUCCGUUUUCCAUGGAUCCCCUUCACCUUUCCAUGGAUCCUGCUGGUUCCC
rnacentral:lncRNA from 1 species